AAAAUGGCUGAACGUUUUUGUUGGUUUAUGGGUUAUGGGUCGCUGGACCGACCUGACUUGACCCGAUUUUUGUUUUUAGAUUAUCUGGAAAAAAGUUGAAAAGAAAGAGAUAAUGUUGCAUUUUUGAAACUUGGGAGAACAGUUACAAACAUAAACUGUUUCCCUUCCCCAAUAUAUUUGAAGUUCAUUCUUCCUCUGUAUAUGAAAAAAGUGACGAAAGAAAUACAAAAACCAAAGAAAAGCAGUGAACCUUUCAAAGACAUUUAGUUUGUGAAAUCACACUUUGAUUCCAAGAGAUUUAAAGUAGACUUGGGGCAGAUUCUUUCGGUGGCAAAAUCAUCUUCUUCCGCUACAACAUAUCAAGACAUGGCUGAACGAAGACAAACUCGAAUCACUCCAAGUGGAAGUUCAGGAUGUCGAGCAAAGAAACAAAGUGGAAGAGUACGUCAUCGAAGGACAUAUUUUCGAGGUCGUGAGAUCAUACGAAACGGUGUUUCUAGAGUGACAUAAAAUCUGUUAUGAAAUGAAAGGACUCUGCGAAA